UAGAGAAAACACAUCCCAUCAUCCUCUCCGCCUCUGCUAUCACUCUCGUCUCUCUUUCUCCUUAUCCUUCGCUUCUGCUAUCACUCUAUUUCACUCUCCACUUCAAAGAAAAAAAUCACUCACUUAUGCUAUCACCAAAACACCAUCACCAUGAGCUAAGCUUGACAGAAAAAUAUUCACACAAAUCAUCUUCUCUUUAAUCUUUCUCAGAAAACCAUUUUCACUUCAAUCUUUCUCUUGAAAGCCCUCCACCAUUAAACCCUUCAAGAGAAAUAUUUGUCCUGUUGAAUCCCACCACUAUUUUCUCUUCAAUCUUUCCCGUGCUUGAUUUUCCACAGAAAAGUUAGGGUUUGCAAAAGAAAUAAAAAAUCCCUUGCGCUUUGACCUAAUUCGAGAUAUGGGUUCUUAGAUCGAUCCAUAUGGCACGACUGACAUCAAUAUCUUCUUCCUUCUUUUAUUUAUAUGAGCCACUUAGGGAGAGUAAAAUAAAGAUGUAUGUGCUAUAAGAGGUAAAACGGGGUUUUUAUUUUGGGCCUAAUUUUGUUGAUUGUAUGCUAUCAGUAUCAACGUGGUCCGAUUAAAAAAGUUGUUCUUCUAAUGAUUCGAAUUCAUGGCAUGACAGGAAUUAAAGUUGUUCUUUUAAUGAAUUCGAAUUCAUGGCAUAACGGGAAUUAAAAGUUGUUCUUUGAAUGAUUUGAAUUCAUGGCGUAAGAGUAAAUACACUUUUUUUUUGAUAGAAAGAGUAAAUACACUUAGUGAUCAUGUCAAAAAAUACUUCUUAGCAAAUCUCUUAGUUGCACUUGAUGAACAUGAUAGAAGAUUUUGAAGGGAACCCAUGCGAAUAAAAGCUUAAUCGGCCACAGGAUUAUGGAAACAAGGCGACGGCGAGUAAAUGGCGCCAGGUGAGUCACCUAGAUUCUAGCAGAAGUGAGUUGUUUGUCUAAAAUUGAUGUCCCUUUGGAAAAUGUUUCUAAACCGAUCAAUUGUGAUUUUGACUAAGAGUGACCUGACCUUAAAUGUAGUGUGGCUAGUAAAGAAGACAGUGUGAGAGUUUGGUUGGUUAUUUCUUUUUAAUUGUGAUUUUGACUAAGAGUGACCUGACCUUAAAAUUAUGGAAACCAAUUUGGCUAGCCAUCGCAAAGCAUGACAACAACAAGUUUUACAAUUUAGUAUUUAGUUAUUUAAUUUAUUAAGAAUUUUUAUUAUGAAAAAUAAGUAUGUUAUUAGAAUUAGGAUUUAUGUUAAAAGUAAUUCUUUUAGGGUUUGUUUUCUUAUUUUUCAAGUAAUGUAGCCUAUAAAUUGUUCUUUUUCAUUCAUUGAUAAUUAACAAGAAAAAUAUUAAGAAAAGUGUUAUUGUUUGGUGUAUUGGUUCUUAGAAUCAUGAGCCUUUGAGCUUGUUUUUACUGGCCGUGAAUAAGAAACAAAUCGUUUCUUAUCAUUGGUAUCAGACAAGUUCUUUCCUAUACCAGCUUCCGUGAAUAUCAUUAUCAUCAAUCAUCGUGGCUUCACCCACUGCUAUCACCGUCAUAUUUCACCGUAUCCAGUAAAAAAAAAAAAAUUUGAAUUGAAGACAUCGGCGUAUCCACAGCACUUGCCCAGUGGCGUGAUCAUCUGUCCCAGUCAAGGCUUCUUCAUUAUAAGGUUAGGUGGACACUUUUGUUUGGUUAAAUUAGUUUUAGGUCGCAUAUUUGUUUGUUUGGGGAUUUAGUUUGCAUAUUUUCUCCGUUUGAUUUGUACACGUCUUCCUUCGCAUUAUCACUCCUACAUCCGCUGCAUCACUGCAUAUACCAUCACAUGCAUGUCAGCAUAUCACAUAGGAAACACCUAACCCUAGAUAGCCAGCAGUUAUUGCAUCUCCGUUUAGUCCAAUUAUAUUCAAGCCCAGCCCAGUAACAUCCGGUUUCUACACCAAGAUGUCUUGGUACAGCAAAUACCGAAAUAAAAAUCCAUCUCCAGUCCUUCUAAUUUUUGAUGGUACAGAUGCUGUAGAAUGGUUGUUUGAAGUGGAAUCAUAUUUUGAGUCUAAUAAUAUUGCAUCCGAUGGGAAAAGUGUAAUAGCCGUUGCACACCUCGAAGGGAAUGCAUUAAAAUGGUACAAGUGGGAAACUUUUUAUAUGGGAUCUUGGUAUAAUUUUUUGUGUGGUAUAUUGUCUAGUUUGGAGAGAUGACUUACGAGGACUAUCAAGCGAUUAAAGUAGCUAAAUAUGAGCAAAAUGAAGAAGUACAUAAUUGCAACUCUAUGUCAUCACACAUGUUUGUCGAGGUUAUUGAAGAUGUUUGUUCCACUGAUAUUACCGAAGUGACAUGCACCGAGUCGAAGACUGAAGAAAUACAAGUCAUAGCGGUGUCGAUAUUGGACCUUGGGGACAAGGUCCUAUUUAAGGAGGGUGGAAUGAUAAGGUCAUAUGUGGAGCCAAUAUCGAUAUAUAUAGUGGACUUUUAGGGCAAAGUCCCAUUUAAGUAGGGUGGAAUGAUAAGACCACGUAUUAUCGGUCAUGUCAACGUUGUUGACCCGAUACGACACUGGAGCAUAUGUGGUCUUGUUGGUCCAUUAUAUGGGUCAAGCUUAUCCAAGUUAUGGAAACCACCUUGGCUAGCCAUUGCAAAGCAUGACAACAACAAGUUUUACAAUUUAGUAUUUAGUUAUUUAAUUUAUUAAGAAUUUUUAUCAUGAGAAAUAAGUAUUUUAUUAGAAUUAUGAUUUAUAUUAAAAGUAAUCUUUUUAGAGUUUGUUUCUUA